rnacentral:rRNA from 1 species
AAGGGCACCACAAGAACGCGUGGAGCAUGUGGCUUAAUUUGACUCAACGCGGGAAAUCUUACCAGGUCCAGACAUAUUGAGGAUUGACAGGUGAUCGCAUAAUAGAAUUUAUUUUAUUAUGUACAAAUAUGAUAGUCCUUUCAUGAUUAUAUGAUAGGUGGUGCAUGGCCGUUCUUAGUUCGUGGAGUAAUCUGUCUGCUUAAUUGCGUUUCACUAAAUAUAAAAUAGUUCGUCUAUUUUAUUAUAUUCAAUGUUCUGCCUUCACAGGAUUGUGAACUUGAUUUAAUAUAUAGCUUACUAUAUAAAUGUGAAUGCAACGAACGUGACUAUAACCUUUUAUUGCAAUACUUUAUAUAUGUUAAUAUUUUUUAUAUUAAUGUAUUAUAUUGCUUAAAAUUAAAGGAACCGCUGUCUAAAAUUUAGUCUUAAAACAGAGGAAGAUUAUGGCAAUAACAGGUCUGUGAUGCCCUCAGAUGUUCUGGGCUGCACACGUGCUACAAUAAUCACUACAGUAAGUGUCUAAUAUAUAUAAAAUAUAUAUUUUAACUACGGUUAUUAUAUAUAUUAUUAAACCUAUUUCGAAAGUGAAUGGGUAAUCAUUUAAAAAUCGUGGUUAACAUUUUAUACAACAAUUUUAUAUAUUGUGUAAUGUUUAUUAUAUACUUUAUUGUAUUAAUAUCAUACACAAUAUGUUGUAUUAAUUAAUUUAAGGUGGGGAUAGUGUAUUGUUAAUUAUUACACUUGGCCUUAACUAGGAAUGCCUUGUACUGUUCCUUGGUUCAUCAUACCAACAGGAAUACGUCCCUGCCCUUUGUACACACCGCCCGUCGCUCUUACCGAUGAAUUAUAUUAUAAAUCUAAGGGACUUAAAGAAUAUUUUAUAUAUUUUUCGGAAACUUAUAUGCAUAAUGUGAUUUAAAGGAAAGAGAAGUCGUAACAAGGCAUCAGUAGGUGAACCUGCAGAAGGAUCAAGCUUGGAU